CACGAAACUAUGUGAGCUAAAUUUAUUUAAUUGUCAUGUAGUAUAAUGACGUAAAUGAAGAAAAUUUAGGGGUGAUAGGCUUUACAAACAUAGUGAUAUCUUGAUUUUCUCGAAAUGUAGUAGUACAAAUACGGAUUUAAAGCUAUAAGGUUUUGAAUAAUUACGAAUCUUGAUAAACUAAUGGUAAGAUGUAAAAAUCUAUACACAAGCAAUUUUAAUAUAUAUAUCAUAAGGUUGUUAAAGAUAGAGAAAUGUAUUACAAUUAAUAUUAUAUUAAUAAUGUUACUAUUAGUAUUAUAUAAGGUGCAAAUAGUGAACUCGGCUUUAAGUUUUCAACUGUUUAUCAAAAACAUAGCUGCGUGAUAAUACACGCAGUAUUUUCUGCUCAAUGAAUAUUAAAUAGCCGCAGUACCUUGACUGUGCAAAGGUAGCGUAAUCAUUUGUCUUUUGAUUGGAGUCAUGUAUGAACGAAUAUAUGGGGACUUUCUUUACCAUUUGUAAUAACAGAAUUUAAUUAAUGAGUGAAAAAGCUCAUACUUAAAUAAUAGACGAGAAGACCCUAGAAAUUUAUGUUGACGUUUUGUUGGGGCAACAUAGUAACAUGUAACUUACUAUAUAUAUAUGAAAUAGAUUAGAUAAGUUAAAUUACUCUAGGGAUAACAGCAUAAUAUUUAAAUGUUUGUGACCUCGAUGUUGGAUUAGGGAGUUAUAGUUUAGAA
rnacentral:rRNA from 1 species